UAAAUCUACUUUUUUUCCCGUCCACUAUAUGAGGUAAAUAUUUGCUGAUAGGAGUAGGGGAAAAAAGACAUGCAAAGUACUCUCCCCAGAGUGCAGAGAUGAAAAGAAAAAAAAAAUCAUGAAAAACAAAUAAUGAGGAAAAAUAUGCAGCUUUAGCUAAUUAAUGUUGAACACCAGGAUUAUGACUUGUAUAAAUGCAUUAAGAGCCACAGCAUAAUUUUUGAUGAGAGUGAGUAUGCAGUGCAACUUUAGGACAUUCCAUGUGGGACACAGUUUUAAAUAAUUGAAAUUCAUGUUUGCAUAAAUUAUUGUUUUAAACAGGGGCCACGUCCAUUGCAAAUGAUGAUUAGCAUUAAAACACAAGCUGGUGGAACAGAAAGCGGUCAUUAGCAAGUUUUUCUCACAGCUGUCAGAAACCUUCUGUCACCCUGUGCCAAGACAGCGUUCCGCCCACUGCUAUUUCACGCCAGGGACAGAGAGAGACAGAGAGACAGAGAGAGAGAGAGUGAGAGAGAGAGGGAGAGAAGGAGAGCAUGCCGGGCGCCAGAAGCGGCAUCAACAAACAGUUAAUGCUUUACACUCCAGUCCAGUUGGUGGCAGUAAUACAUCAUAAGUUAGCUUGUCAACCACCAUUAAAUCGUACAAGAAGAAGAAGAAGAGUCUUCAGCGUAGCCAUUUUGAACAGGUGGUAAUCUCCAGUGAGGAGAGACGAAGGGUGACUUAGGAGGAGGACACAAGGAGUGGAGAAGGGAUGGUGACAGAGGAUGGCAAAGGGCUGACAGGAAGGCAGGCAUACCAGACAGGUGGAGGCUCUGGUGGAGGAUGGACUCCCGGAAGGACUAACACGCCACUGUGGAGAUGAGGAAGAUAGGAGCCACUGAGGAGCCGCUGUGUCCAAGGGCCAAAGCGGAGUCAAGGACUCAGAGGCUGGAGGUGGAGACAAGGGAUCCUCCAGCCACGAUGCCGAUGGAGACUGGCAGACCCGCGGCGAUCCCACCGCACAGAUGGUGGGCUCAGGGUGAAGCAGGCUGA
ensembl:lncRNA